CCUACGGGGGGCAGCAGUGAGGAAUAUUGGUCAAUGGACGAGAGUCUGAACCAGCCAAGUAGCGUGAAGGAUGACUGCCCUAUGGGUUGUAAACUUCUUUUAUAUGGGAAUAAAACGUUCCACGUGUGGGAUUUUGUAUGUACCAUAUGAAUAAGGAUCGGCUAACUCCGUGCCAGCAGCCGCGGUAAUACGGAGGAUCCGAGCGUUAUCCGGAUUUAUUGGGUUUAAAGGGAGCGUAGGUGGAUUGUUAAGUCAGUUGUGAAAGUUUGCGGCUCAACCGUAAAAUUGCAGUUGAGACUGGCAGUCUUGAGUACAGUAGAGGUGGGCGGAAUUCGUGGUGUAGCGGUGAAAUGCUUAGAUAUCACGAAGAACUCCGAUUGCGAAGGCAGUUCACUGGACUGCAACUGACACUGAGGCUCGAAAGUGUGGGUAUCAAACAGGAUUAGAUACCCUGGUAGUC
rnacentral:rRNA from 1 species